rnacentral:rRNA from 1 species
GACGAACGCUGGCGGCGUGCCUAAUAAAUGCAAGUCGAGCGAAGUUUUUCUGGUGCUUGCACUAGAAAAACUUAGCGGCGAACGGGUGAGUAACACGUAAAGAACCUGCCUCAUAGACUGGGACAACUAUUGGAAACGAUAGCUAAUACCGGAUAACAGUAUUUCUCGCAUGAGAGAUAUUUAAAAGUUGGUUAUGCUAACACUAUGAGAUGGCUUUGCGGUGCAUUAGCUAGUUGGUGGGGUAAAGGCCCACCAAGGCGACGAUGCAUAGCCGACCUGAGAGGGUGAUCGGCCACACUGGGACUGAGACACGGCCCAGACUCCUACGGGAGGCAGCAGUAGGGAAUCUUCCGCAAUGGGCGAAAGCCUGACGGAGCAACGCCGCGUGAGUGAAGAAGGAUUUCGGUUCGUAAAGCUCUGUUGUUAGGGAAGAAUGGAUAUGUAGUAACUAUACAUGUAAGAGACGGUACCUAACCAGAAAGCCACGGCUAACUACGUG